GGGGAAUUUUGGACAAUGGGCGCAAGCCUGAUCCAGCAAUGCCGUGUGCAGGAUGAAGGCCUUCGGGUUGUAAACUGCUUUUGUACGGAACGAAAAGCCUCUCUCUAAUACAGGGGGGUGAUGACGGUACCGUAAGAAUAAGCACCGGCUAACUACGUGCCAGCAGCCGCGGUAAUACGUAGGUGGCAAGCGUUGUCCGGAAUUAUUGGGCGUAAAGCGCGCGCAGGUGGUUUCUUAAGUCUGAUGUGAAAGCCCACGGCUCAACCGUGGAGGGUCAUUGGAAACUGGGAGACUUGAGUGCAGAAGAGGAUAGUGGAAUUCCAAGUGUAGCAGUGAAAUGCGUAGAGAUUUGGAGGAACACCAGUGGCGAAGGCGACUAUCUCGUCUGUAACUGACACUGAGGCGCGAAAGCGUGGGGAGCAAACA
rnacentral:rRNA from 1 species